AUGGCUUGGAAUUGCUGCAGCAGCUGCGGUUCUGCUGUGUCAUGCAAGAAGGAGGCGGCGGCGGCCGGAGCUGGAGGGGGAGGAGGGGAGGAACCUGAUCCUCCGGUAGCGAAGGGCUGGAGGCAAACACCGAGCUCCUCCAAAGCCGCCCGGGAGCAGGGAGGGCUCCGCUACCCCGGGGGGAGGCCCUCCCCGCGGGGCAGAUGUUCCUUUGACCAGAGUACCUCAUUCGGCUUAAAGAAGAAAGAAAACUGUGUGUGACAUUCCCUCCCAGCCUACCUGCGGCCAGACUCCUCACCACACAAACUGCCCACCCCGCUCCUCUCCUCAUCUUCAGAGCCAUGAUUCCGAGAGACAUUGCAAUACUACUCACGUUGGGUGAGAAGACUGCCUGAAACUCUAAACAAUUUCACCUCCCUUGCCCUUUGCCACGGGAAUUCAGAACCUACGACUGAGAGCAGGGAAGUAUACGGACAGGCUGGGCAUGUAGGAACAUUACUGCCUUCACUGGACUGUAGUUCUCCAGACAACUUUUUAAUUGUGAUUAUUCCCUUCCAUUGCACUCCUGGAAAUUUCAAAGCACUUUCUAAAACAUCAUUUUUUUAAUGUCAGUCAUACAUUUAGAGGUAAGGGGUUGAUGGGAUUAACUGAAAGGCUAAUGACUGUCUCAAAAGCACAUGCUGUUGCUAGGGAACCCAAGCUCCUGCUGCUCUCUAAUCACCAGCAUGUUCCAUGGAAAUCAAACUGCUCAGGGUGUUAUUAAAAUGAAUGGCAUCGGGUUAAAUGCGUUCUUGCUUAUGUUGUAGCAUCCUGGAUUAUCGAUUGCCUCACACCCACAUAUCUUGUUUUCCUAAUUUGAUUUCUGUAUUUGCGUCACUGCCAGGGACACUCAGACUAGACCAGUCAGUUCACUUCCUGUUUCUCAGAACUGGUUUAUAUUUGGUCUCGUAGCACUAGCUGGUAAAACAUUAUCAAACUGAUCCUCUUGGAAAGAAAUCUUUGCUUCCCGUUGAAAACAAAUUAUUCCAAUUAAAUUCUAAUUCCCGUGGAAAACGUCAUCAUUUGAGGAGUAGACUGCCAGUUGCCAUUUGAGAAACCAUCCUUGAAAUGUAAAGCCUAGAAAAAAAAAAAUCUCAAUUUCUUUUACCCAAAAUCUUCAUUCCUCAGCACUAGAACUAAGACACACUCGAGUAAAGAGUAGAUUUAAGUAUACUUCUAAAAUGAAAUGCAUAAAUUAAUAAAUAAAUAAAUAAAUACACGUUGAAGCUGGGGAAAUCAUUUAGACUAAAUAAGGCAUAGAAUUGAAUGGAAUCCAGGCCCAGGAAGGACAAGUAAGCUUGGGUUAGCAUUGUGGCAUUCAGAGAACACAGUGUGAUUACAAGGCUGUACUACAAAUAGGAAACCCCAUCACUUUGUGUACUAAUUGUCUCUUUUACCAAUUCCCCUACGUCCCUGGACAAGACAACCUUGUUUUGUUUUGUUUUCAGUUCCUUCCUCUUUAUAACAAGGAUAUUGCAAAGGCAAUAUCAGAAAGAUAAGCCCUAUGUAAAUAGGUGGAUUCUGAUGUAGAUAAUUUGUUUAGAUGGAAAAUAAAGCCCUUUGAAAAAGAUGUAUAAUGGCAUCAAUAGCCUGGAUGACCUUGAGUGAGCCAUCAUAGGUCUUAUGUCAGUUUCUUUGUGGAAGCUUAAAUGAAAGUGCUGGACUAAAGUAUUUCUAAGGCUCCUCCCAUUUACAAACUUCUGUGAUGAGAUUGAACUCACUACAUAAAAAUUUCAAUUUUAGCUGGAUUUUGCAAUGUUAAAUUUUAGCACUGAACCUUUAGUACCUAUCCAUAGGAACCUUGAGGGAAAUGAUGGGAAAUGAUUUUCUAUUGAUGUAUCCAUUUUUAGUGUCUGUUGACAGAAAAAUAAAAUUUACCUUACUCCCC